rnacentral:rRNA from 1 species
AACGAACGCUGGCGGCAGGCCUAACACAUGCAAGUCGAGCGAAGCCUUCGGGCUUAGCGGCGGACGGGUGAGUAACGCGUGGGAACGUGCCCUUUGCUACGGAAUAGCCCCGGGAAACUGGGAGUAAUACCGUAUGUGCCCUUCGGGGGAAAGAUUUAUCGGCAAAGGAUCGGCCCGCGUUGGAUUAGGUAGUUGGUGGGGUAAUGGCCUACCAAGCCGACGAUCCAUAGCUGGUUUGAGAGGAUGAUCAGCCACACUGGGACUGAGACACGGCCCAGACUCCUACGGGAGGCAGCAGUGGGGAAUCUUAGACAAUGGGGGAAACCCUGAUCUAGCCAUGCCGCGUGAUCGAUGAAGGCCUUAGGGUUGUAAAGAUCUUUCAGUGGGGAAGAUAAUGACUGUACCCACAGAAGAAGCCCCGGCUAACUCCGUGCCAGCCGCCGCCGCUGUAA